rnacentral:rRNA from 1 species
UACGUAGGGGGCAAGCGUUGUCCGGAUUUAUUGGGCGUAAAGAGCGUGUAGGCGGCCACACAGGUCUGCUGUGAAAACUCGAGGCUCAACCUCGAGCUGUCGGUGGAAACCGUGUGGCUAGAGUCCGGAAGAGGAGAGUGGAAUUCCCGGUGUAGCGGUGAAAUGCGCAGAUAUCAGGAGGAACACCGGUGGCGAAGGCGGUUCUCUGGGAAUGUCCUGACGCUGAGGAGCGAAAGUGUGGGGAGCGAACAGG